rnacentral:rRNA from 1 species
GCUCAGAGGUAAACGGGUGGAGUUGAACUGUGAUCUCUGUGAAUUUAGCUGGUGAGCAUGGUUUGGGCUUGGUCAAAUUGGUUGAAGCCGGGAAUCUGCGUAGCAGCAGGUCCUCACCUUCUGGUGGGGAUGCGCGAUGCACUUAUCAAGUGUUGCGCGUUCCAUGUUUUUCGUGCCAGCUUGCCAGUGCACUUUUGCAGAGUGGUCACCACGACCGGCAUUGCUGUCUGGCUGUUGUGGUUAAACCGGCCUUCCUUUGUCCUUGUGGCUUUGGAUUGUCGGGAUGGCAGGUAACUCGCUUGCUUGGCUUGUGGUUCGCUGCAGGUUUUGGCUCUCGGGUGUAAUCGGCUGACCGCAUCGGUUCUGUGCAGUAUGUCGGAGAUGGCGGCUUGUGGUACAUGCGUGCGUGCCAGUUGGCUGGCGUGUCCGUGUUUGGUUGUCAUGUUGCUUGUGUAAACAGGCCUGGCGAUAGCUCGGAUUCGUUUGGCUGGCGGUUGUGUGCGUAGUGCUUUCCA